rnacentral:rRNA from 1 species
GGGUUUGAUCCUGGCCCAGCUCUAACGCGUGCAGGAAGUCUAACACAUGCAAGUUAAUGGAUAAUAAAAUAGAAAUCUAUUUUGACUUUCUUUUUAUUUGUCUUUAGCGUCCGGGUGCGUAUAAACCGGAUAUAAUAGUAAAGAUUCAAAACGUUAGCUAUUUUUUGUUAACGUAAGGAGCACUAGCUGCUUGCGCACUAGUGCAAGGUAUAAAUACCUUGUAAAAGGCAAAGUCCUUCUUUAUUUCUAAUCUGGUUUGGAUUAGGUUGUUGGUAUGGUUACGGCAUACCAAGCCCAUGAUCCAUAGCCACCCUUAAUGGGGGGUUGGCCACAGCGGGACUGAAACAAGGCCCGUCAGUAUUAUCUGCAGCAGUGAAGAAUCUUUGACAAUGGGCGAAAGCCUGAUCGAGCUGUCCUGCGUCAGACAGAUUUAUAAACACGAUCCGUUUUGGAAGGCAUUUUUGUUGUAACUCUAAGAAUUAUAGGCGUAUUUUACGCUUUUGUUUUAUAUAGAAACAAGUUAUGAUACAAAGACAUUUCUAUAAAGGAAUCCCCGGCCAAUUCUGUGCCAGCAGCCGCGGGAAUACAGGAGGGGAAAGUGUUGAGCUUUUGGACUAGGCCUAAAGCGUGGGUCGGUGCACAAAGAUCUUUCUACUUUGAAUCCCUAGAUGGUUCUAGGCUAAAAAUAGAGAAACUUUGUAUGGAGUCAAAAGAAGGGAUGCAGAAUGGCCCCAGUACCGGUAGAAUGGAAACAUAAGGGUUGGAAUACCGACGGCGAAGGCAACAUCCUACUUUUGGACUGACACUCAGCCACGGAAGCGUAGGGAUCAAAUGGGAUUAGAGACCCCAGUAGUCUACGCCGUCAACGAUAAGUGUAUGGGGGUUUAUUUCCAAAUAAACAUCCAUUGCCAAAUGCAAGAACACUUCGCCUGGGGAGUAAUGCCGCAAGGCAGAAACUCAAAGGCAUAGGCCGCCGGGUAGACCGGUAGUGGAACAUAGCGGUGUAAGCGAUAUAACGCGCAACACCUCACUAUCUCUUGACAUGUAGUAA